rnacentral:rRNA from 1 species
CGGAGGGUGCAAGCGUUAUCCGGAUUCACUGGGUUUAAAGGGUGCGUAGGUGGGCAGGUAAGUCAGUGGUGAAAUCUCCGAGCUUAACUCGGAAACUGCCAUUGAUACUAUCUGUCUUGAAUAUCCUGGAGGUGAGCGGAAUAUGUCAUGUAGCGGUGAAAUGCUUAGAUAUGACAUAGAACACCAAUUGCGAAGGCAGCUCACUACGGGAUUAUUGACACUGAGGCACGAAAGCGUGGGGAUCAAACAGGAUUAGAUACCCUGGUAGUCCACGCCCUAAACGAUGGAUACUCGACAUCAGCGAUACACUGUUGGUGUCUGAGCGAAAGCAUUAAGUAUCCCACCUGGGAAGUACGAUCGCAAGAUUG